UUUUUUCUCUUUUUUCCCUCUUUUUUCUCCUUUUUCUUUCUUGACAAACACAGGGGCAAGAAGG
rnacentral:ribozyme from 11 species